UGAACGCUAGCUACAGGCUUACCACAUGCAAGUCGAGGGGAAACGGCAUCGAAAGCUUGCUUUUGAUGGGCGUCGACCGGCGCACGGGUGAGUAACGCGUAUCCAACCUGCCCAUCACUUGGGAAUAACCUUGCGAAAGUAAGACUAAUGCCCAAUGACAUCCCACGAAGGCAUCCGAAUGGGAUUAAAGAUUUAUCGGUGAUGGAUGGGGAUGCGUCUGAUUAGCUUGUUGGCGGGGUGACGGCCCACCAAGGCAACGAUCAGUAGGGGUUCUGAGAGGAAGGUCCCCCACAUCGGAACUGAGACACGGUCCAAACUCCUACGGGAGGCAGCAGUGAGGAAUAUUGGUCAAUGGGCGAGAGCCUGAACCAGCCAAGUAGCGUGCAGGAUGACGGCCCUAUGGGUUGUAAACUGCUUUUAUAAGGGAAUAAAGUGGGUCACGUGUGACUUUUUGCAUGUACCUUAUGAAUAAGGACCGGCUAAUUCCGUG
rnacentral:rRNA from 1 species